ACUGGGCGCAGUGGCGCGUGCCUAUAGUCCCAGCUACUUGUGAGGCUGAGGCUGGAGGAUCUCUUGAGCCCAGGAGUUCUGGGCUGUCGUGCACUAUGCAGAUCGGGUGUCUGCACUAAGUUCGGCAUCAAUAUGGUGACCACCCGGGAGCGGGGGACCACCAGGUUGCCUAAGGAGGGGUGAACCAGCCCAGGUCAGAAACAGAACAGGUCAAAACUCCCGUGCUGAUCAGUAGUGGGAUUGCGCCUGUGAAUGGCCACUGCACUCCAGCCUGGACAAUAUAGCAAGACCCUGUCUCU
rnacentral:SRP_RNA from 1 species